AGCAGUCGCCGCGGUAAUACGAAGGGUGCAAGCGUUAAUCGGAAUUACUGGGCGUAAAGCGUACGCAGGCGGUUUGUUAAGUCAGAUGUGAAAUCUCCGAGCUUAACUCGGGAACUGCAUUUGAAACUGGCAGGCUAGAGUCUCGUAGAGGGGGGUAGAAUUCCAGGUGUAGCGGUGAAAUGCGUAGAUAUAGGAAGGAACACCAGUGGCGAAGGCGGCCAUCUGGGACAACACUGACGCUGAGGCACGAAAGCGUGGGGAGCAAACAGGAUUAGAUACCCCUGUAGUCCCUGUCUCUUAUAA
rnacentral:rRNA from 1 species